rnacentral:rRNA from 1 species
AAUCCAUAGGUUAAUGAGGCGAACCGGGGGAACUGAAACAUCUAAGUACCCCGAGGAAAAGAAAUCAACCGAGAUUCCCCCAGUAGCGGCGAGCGAACGGGGAGGAGCCCAGAGCCUGAAUCAGCAUGUGUGUUAGUGGAAGCGUCUGGAAAGGCGCGCGAUACAGGGUGACAGCCCCGUACACAAAAGCGCAUGUGCUGUGAGCUCGAUGAGUAGGGCGGGACACGUGGUAUCCUGUCUGAAUAUGGGGGGACCAUCCUCCAAGGCUAAAUACUCCUGACUGACCGAUAGUGAACCAGUACCGUGAGGGAAAGGCGAAAAGAACCCCGGCGAGGGGAGUGAAAAAGAACCUGAAACCGUGUACGUACAAGCAGUGGGAGCACAGGUUUACCUGUGUGACUGCGUACCUUUUGUAUAAUGGGUCAGCGACUUAUAUUCUGUAGCAAGGUUAACCGAAUAGGGGAGCCGGAGGGAAACCGAGUCUUAAUUGGGCGUUAAGUUGCAGGGUAUAGACCCGAAACCCGGUGAUCUAGCCAUGGGCAGGUUGAAGGUUGGGUAACACUAACUGGAGGACCGAACCGACUAAUGUUGAAAAAUUAGCGGAUGACCUGUGGCUGGGGGUGAAAGGCCAAUCAAACCGGGAGAUAGCUGGUUCUCCCCGAAAGCUAUUUAGGUAGCGCCUCGUGAACUCAUCUCCGGGGGUAGAGCACUGUUUCGGCUAGGGGGCCAUCCCGGCUUACCAACCCGAUGCAAACUGCGAAUACCGGAGAAUGUUAUCACGGGAGACACACGGCGGGUGCUAACGUCCGUCGUGAAGAGGGAAACAACCCAGACCGCCAGCUAAGGUCCCAAAGUCAUGGUUAAGUGGGAAACGAUGUGGGAAGGCCCAGACAGCCAGGAUGUUGGCUUAGAAGCAGCCAUCAUUUAAAGAAAGCGUAAUAGCUCACUGGUCGAGUCGGCCUGCGCGGAAGAUGUAACGGGGCUAAACCAUGCACCGAAGCUGCGGCAGCGAACGUAUCACUUAAAGCGAUUCAGCGGAUGACGAUUGACGGAGCGAAGCGACGUCAAAGCGUAUACAAAGUCGAGUCGGUUUAAGGAUACGUUCGUUGGGUAGGGGAGCGUUCUGUAAGCCUGUGAAGGUGGCCUGUGAGGGUUGCUGGAGGUAUCAGAAGUGCGAAUGCU